ACCCAGACUCCUACGGGAGGCAGCAGUGAGGAAUAUUGGUCAAUGGGCGGGAGCCUGAACCAGCCAAGUCGCGUGAGGGAAGACGGUCCUAUGGAUUGUAAACCUCUUUAGGCAGGGAGCAAUGCCGGGCACGCGUGCCCGGAGGGAGAGUACCCGGAGAAAAAGCAUCGGCUAACUCCGUGCCAGCAGCCGCGGUAAUACGGAGGAUGCGAGCGUUAUCCGGAUUUAUUGGGUUUAAAGGGUGCGUAGGCGGGCUGUUAAGUCAGCGGUCAAAUGUCGGGGCUCAACCCCGGCCUGCCGUUGAAACUGGCGGCCUCGAGUGGGCGAGAAGUAUGCGGAAUGCGUGGUGUAGCGGUGAAAUGCAUAGAUAUCACGCAGAACCCCGAUUGCGAAGGCAGCCUUCCGGCGCCCUACUGACGCUGAGGCACGAAAGUGCGGGGAUCGAACAGGAUUAGAUACCUGAGUA
rnacentral:rRNA from 1 species